rnacentral:pre_miRNA from 14 species
GCCUGAGGUCAAUUCCUGGAACUGAAAGAUCCCACGCAGAGAGACCCUUACUCAAGUCUUGGGAAAUCGCGGACCCCAGACACAGAGAGACCA